rnacentral:SRP_RNA from 1 species
GCCAUGCGCCGUGGCACGUGCCUGUAGUACCAGCUACUCGGGAGGCUGAGGUGGGAAGAUAGCUUGAGUCCAGGAGUUCUGGGCUGUAGUGCGCUAUGCCAAUAGAGUGUCUGCACUAAGUUCGGCAUCAAUAUGGUGACCUCCCAGGAGCGUGGGACCACCAGGGUGCCCAAGGAGGGGUGAACCGGCCCAGGUCAAAAACGGAGCACGUCAAAAUUCCCGUGCUGAUCAGUAGUGGGAUCGCGCCUGUGAAUAGCCACUGCACUCCAGCCUGGGCAAUGUAAUGAGACCCCAUCUCAA